rnacentral:rRNA from 1 species
UGGGGAAUAUUGGGCAAUGGGCGAAAGCCUGACCCAGCAACGCCGCGUGAGGGAAGAAGGCCUUCGGGUUGUAAACCUCUGUCCUUGGUGACGAAAAAAAUGACGGUAGCCAAGGAGGAAGCCCCGGCUAACUACGUGCCAGCAGCCGCGGUAAUACGUAGGGGGCGAGCGUUGUCCGGAAUUACUGGGCGUAAAGGGUGCGUAGGUGGCCUUUUAAGUUGGAUGUGAAAUCCCCGGGCUUAACUUGGGUGGUGCAUCGAAUACUGGAGGGCUAGAGUGCAGGAGAGGGAAGCGGAAGUCCUAGUGUAGCGGUGAAAUGCGUAGAUAUUAGGAGGAACACCAGUGGCGAAGGCGGCUUUCUGGACUGUAACUGACACUGAGGCACGAAAGCGUGGGGAGCAAACA